GGUUCUGUAGUGUAGUGGUCAUCACUCUGGUUUUUGAUACCAGAAACCCCGGUUCGAACCCGGGCAGGACCU
rnacentral:tRNA from 5 species